rnacentral:rRNA from 1 species
GAUGAACGCUGGCGGCGUGCCUAAUACAUGCAAGUCGAGCGAACGGACGAGAAUCUUUCUUCUCUGAUGUUAGCGGCGGACGGGUGAGUAACACGUGGAUAACCUACCUAUAAGACUGGGAUAACUUCGGGAAACCGUAGCUAAUACCGGAUAAUAUUUUGAACCGCAUGGUUCAAAAGUGAAAGACGGUCUUGCUGUCACUUAUAGAUGGAUCCGCGCUGCAUUAGCUAGUUGGUAAGGUAACGGCUUAACAAGGCAACGAUGCAUAGCCGACCUGAGAGGGUGAAAGGCCACAAUGGAACUGAGACACGGUCCAGAAUCAUACGGGAGGCAGCAGUAGGGAAUCUUCAGCAAUGGGCGAAAGCCUGAAGGAGAAACGCCGCGUGAGUGAUGAAGGGCUUCGGAUCGUAAAACUCUGUUAUGAGGGAAGAACAUAUGUGUAAGUAACUGUGCACAGCUUGACGGUACCUAAUCAGAAAGCCACGGCCAACUACGUG